rnacentral:rRNA from 1 species
AUUGAACGCUGGCGGCAGGCCUAACACAUGCAAGUCGAGCGGUUGAAGGGAGCUUGCUCCUGGAUUCAGCGGCGGACGGGUGAGUAAUGCCUAGGAAUCUGCCUGGUAGUGGGGGAUAACGUCCGGAAACGGGCGCUAAUACCGCAUACGUCCUGAGGGAGAAAGUGGGGGAUCUUCGGACCUCGCGCUAUCAGAUGAGCCUAGGUCGGAUUAGCUAGUUGGUGGGGUAAAGGCCUACCAAGGCGACGAUCCGAAACUGGUCUGAGAGGAUGAUCAGUCACACUGGAACAGAGACACGGUCCCGACUCCUACAGGAGGCAGCAGUGGGGAAUAUUGCACAAUGGGGGAAAGCCUGAUCCAGCCAUGCCGCGUGUGUGAAGAAGGUCUUCGGAUUGUAAAGCACUUUAAGUUGGGAGGAAGGGCAGUAAGUUAAUACCUUGCUGUUUUGACGUUACCAACAGAAUAAGCACCGGCUAACUUCGUG